GGAAGCUGAACUGGCGAUGGCGCCAGGCCCCGCUGCUAACGGGUGCGAGCCGCUCUUCGGCCCGAGGUUCGAGUCCUCCGGCUUCCGC
rnacentral:tRNA from 1 species